AAUUUUAUUAGUAUAAAAAUUAAUACAUUUAGCUUCCAACUAAAAAAUCUGUUUGAUAAAAUAA
rnacentral:tRNA from 1 species